ensembl:lncRNA
AUUGGCUGUGUCGGCAACAGGCAAGCUGUGGGCUCUCCCACAAUGCACUGCUCUGCGAUCCCGAGGCACAGCCGCUCCCGCAGACAUGGAGACAGGUCAGGCCGUGCCAUCUCCACAGCAGCCUCACCACCAGCUCUAAAAGAGGACUAAGACCAUUGCAGUUUGACUAAGGUCACAGAGAACGUAAGCAGUAGAGUUGAAAUCCACAUCAGCCUUCUAUGGGAGCCAUGCCCCAACUCUCGACACGCCCAGGAAAUCAGUCCUGAAUAUUCAUUGGAAGGUCUGACGCAGAAGCUGAAGUUUCAAUACUUUGGCUACCUGAUUCGAAGAGCUGACUCUUUUGAGAAGACCCUGAUGCUGGGAAAGAUUGAAGGCGGGAGGAGAAGGGGACGACAGAGGAUGAAUUGGUUGGAAGGCAUCACCAACUUGAUGGGACAUGAGUUUGAACAAGCUCUGGGAGUUGGUGAUGGACAUGGAAGCCUGGCGUGCUGUAGUCCAUGGGGUCACAAAGAGUCAGAUAUGACUGAGCGACUGAACUGAACUGAACUGCCUCAUUUAAAACCAUAAGAGUGAGUCAGUGUUACCCAAGCUCACCCAACAGGUGGUAGAGUGAUGGGCCUUUGAAUUAUGCUUAGGGUGGAGCCUGCCUGGGGUUAAGUCUGGAACAAUGAACUCUGCUGUGUGAAAAACAAAUUACUAAAAAACAUAUUUUGAAAAAUAAAUAAUUAAAAAAUUGCCCAAUUUCAGUUUUGAAAGAUAUGUGUGAGAGAAUUUGUAUUGAGUUGUGCCAUGAUUUUCCUCCCUCCAGAACCUCUUUUGUUAUGCAGAAGCUUCUCUGAAGGUGAGCAGCUUGAUCUGCACUAAUGUGACAGUACAUGUCC